rnacentral:rRNA from 1 species
GCUUUUGCGCCAUGGGAUGGGGUCGCGUCCUAUCAGCUUGUUGGUGGGGUGUUGGCCUACCAAGGCUUCGACGGGUAGCCGGCCUAAGAGGGCGACCGGCCACAUUGGGACUGAGAUACGGCCCAGACUCCUACGGGAGGCAGCAGUGGGGAAUAUUGCACAAUGGGGGGAACCCUGAUGCAGCGACGCCGCGUGCGGGAUGGAGGCCUUCGGGUCGUGAACCGCUUUUACAGGGGAGCAAGCUUUCGGGUGAGUUAACUUUGUGAAUAAGCACCGGCUAACUACGUGCCAGCAGCCGCGGUAAUACGUAGGGUGCAAGCGUUGUCCGGAUUUAUUGGGCGUAAAGGGCUCGUAGGCGGUUCGUCGCGUCUGGUGUGAAAGCCCGCUGCUUAACGGCGGGUUUGCGUUGGAUACGGGCGGGCUUGAGUGCAGUAGGGGGGACUGGAAUUCCCGGUGUAA